rnacentral:rRNA from 1 species
GACGAACGCUGGCGGCGCGCUUAACACAUGCAAGUCGAGCGAUAACCAUGGCUUCGGCCAUGGGGAGAGCGGCGAACGGGUGAGUAACACGUGAGUAAUCUGCCCUCGACACUGGGAUAGCCCGGGGAAACCCGGAUUAAUACCGGAUAGCCUCUCGAGCUUUCGGGCUCGUGAGAAAAGAUGGCUUCGGCUUUCGGUUGAGGAGGAGCUUGCGGCGGAUUAGCUAGUUGGCGGGGUAANGGCCACCAAGGCGUCGAUCCGUAGCCGGCCUGAGAGGGCGGUCGGCCGACACUGACACUGAAUAACGGGUCAGACUCCUACGGGAGGCAGCAGUCGGGAAUUUUGGGUCAAUGGGCGCAAGCCUGACCCAGCAACGCCGCGUGAAGGAUGAAAUCCCUCGGGAUGUAAACUUC